rnacentral:rRNA from 1 species
UACAGAGGGUGCAAGCGUUGUUCGGAAUCAUUGGCGUAAAGGGCGUGUAGGCGGUUUGUUAAGUCAUGUGUGAAAUCCCUCGGCUCAACCGGGGAACGACGCUUGAAACUGGCAAGCUAGAGUACCAAAGAGGGCGGUGGAAUUCCCGGUGUAGCGGUGAAAUGCGUAGAUAUCGGAAGGAACGCCGGUGGCGAAAGCGGGCUACUGGGCCGAUGACUGACGCUGAUGCGCGAAAGCCAGGGGAGCAAAGCGGG